AACAAUCAAUUUUGUAAAAAAAAACGAAGAAGUUUGCAAAUUUGUUUUCAUUCAGGCGGAUUGUUCAGCAUUCCCAGUGCAUUAGAGUGGUUUUAAACUGUGGCGAUUACAAUAUGCAUCAAUAAAUGAAAUAAAUAAGAAGUAACGGUGACAAUGCCAAUUGAAUCCUGUGUCAAAGGAUGUACGGCAAAGUACGCAGAAACUAACGUACACGCUGCUUUAUUUUAACUCUAAAUUGAUUAGGAUCUACUCGGUUUGGUAUUCUUAUGCAAAAUGUCAAAAAUUUUGAGUUAUUAUCCAUGAUGUUUACUCACCCCUGAGUAUAUGAGUUAACAACGCAACUAACUUCGCACCUCAACGCACCAAGUGCAGCAGCGUCAGCAGAAGCAACCAAAGCCCGGCUGGAAGUAUGUCGAUUGGCAACAACCCGUUAACGUGACCGGCACCUGUUCUGCUUUCAUCAGCAAAGGUGCAGACUUCGACCACCGAACCAUCGCCACAUGGACAGACUUCGACCACCGAACCAUCGCCACAUGGACAGACUUCGACCACCGAACCAUCGCCACAUGGAGACAC